CUACACAUGCAGUCGAGCGGAUGAAGGGAGCUUGCUCCCGGAUUUAGCGGCGGACGGGUGAGUAAUGCCUAGGAAUCUGCCUGGUAGUGGGGGACAACGACUCGAAAGGGUCGCUAAUACCGCAUACGUCCUACGGGAGAAAGUGGGGGAUCUUCGGACCUCACGCUAUCAGAUGAGCCUAGGUCGGAUUAGCUAGUAGGUGAGGUAAUGGCUCACCUAGGCAACGAUCCGUAACUGGUCUGAGAGGAUGAUCAGUCACACUGGAACUGAGACACGGUCCAGACUCCUACGGGAGGCAGCAGUGGGGAAUAUUGGACAAUGGGCGAAAGCCUGAUCCAGCCAUGCCGCGUGUGUGAAGAAGGUCUUCGGAUUGUAAAGCACUUUAAGUUGGGAGGAAGGGUUGUAGUUUAAUACGCUGCAAUCUUGACGUUACCAACAGAAUAAGCACCGGCUAACUCUGUGCCAG
rnacentral:rRNA from 1 species